rnacentral:rRNA from 1 species
CCGAGUCUUAAUUGGGCGUUAAGUUGCAGGGUAUAGACCCGAAACCCGGUGAUCUAGCCAUGGGCAGGUUGAAGGUUGGGUAACACUAACUGGAGGACCGAACCGACUAAUGUUGAAAAAUUAGCGGAUGACCUGUGGCUGGGGGUGAAAGGCCAAUCAAACCGGGAGAUAGCUGGUUCUCCCCGAAAGCUAUUUAGGUAGCGCCUCGUGAAUUCAUCUCCGGGGGUAGAGCACUGUUUCGGCUAGGGGGCCAUCCCGGCUUACCAACCCGAUGCAAACUGCGAAUACCGGAGAAUGUUAUCACGGGAGACACACGGCGGGUGCUAACGUCCGUCGUGAAGAGGGAAACAACCCAGACCGCCAGCUAAGGUCCCAAAGUCAUGGUUAAGUGGGAAACGAUGUGGGAAGGCCCAGACAGCCAGGAUGUUGGCUUAGAAGCAGCCAUCAUUUAAAGAAAGCGUAAUAGCUCACUGGUCGAGUCGGCCUGCGCGGAAGAUGUAACGGGGCUAAACCAUGCACCGAAGCUGCGGCAGCGAACGUAUCACCCAAGACAACUUUGCGGAGUUGACGAUUGACGGAGCGAAGCGACGUCAAAGCGUUCAUUAAAGUCGAGUUGGCUUAGGGAUACGUUCG